CUUCAUGGAGCAAAAUUUUUUAAAUUAAAAAGAAAAGAAAAAAUUGAGCAUUUUCUAAAUUCAAAACGCACAGGACAUUUUAGAAGAUACAUGUUUGCACGACUCAAGAACGAAUAUAGUAUCGCCAAUAACAGCAGGAUUUCCUCAUUGGUCAAAUGUCUCAGCUGUGGCUGCUAGCUGACCCUUAACUACCCCAUCUCCCUCCAAUGGGAUGAUAGCAUCAGCCGUGCCUCAGAGCUCUCAGGAACUGGUGCCACUGUAUCCUUUCUGGCAAAUAUAGUCCUCUAUCAUCUGGUGAGGAAAUCAUGUGAUGAAGCCUGUGCCAGCUUCCUCCUGGUGCUUCCCAGCAACCCCUGGUGACAGUUGAAGGUUUUAGGUUUUAAUACUGGCCUGAGAACAAGCAUUGACACCCUCUAGGUUCAGAGGUACUGUAUGUGAUGGACAUCACCCGGAGCGCGGUUCAUAAGAAAAUCAUUAUUCUACCCCACUGUGCCUGUGUCUUCCAGCCAUACUGAUAAGGAUGUCCUAGGGGGUGACCAUUAAAACAUACCUAAUGAGAAUGUAUCUGCAAGUCAGGAUUUGGAUCCACUUUGGGAGUUUUUAUUUUAUUUUGUAUCACCAAGCACAGGGUGCAUGCAGUACUGCUGCCGGAUGAGCGAGCCUUGUGAAGCUUCCUCUCACCUGUGACAAAGUGCCCACGUUCAUCCCUCCUUCACUCUAUACGAAUAGGGCUUUUGAACGUGUCCCCCAUGAACGGUAAUGCUGGGAAGGUCCUGUUUAAUCAGGUCGUGGGAGGCUGUAAGCGAGGCAGAUUGUCAGUGAUAUUCCCUUAGGUGCAGGGACACUGGGCCACUGCUCUAGCCUUUGGUCUACCUGUGGUUGAUUCUGGAUUCCUAACUAUAUACUCCGUGGGACAGUGAGAACAAUCUUCCCUGCAAACUGUCCUGCUGGCCUAAAACCUGACCUUGUUGCGCUGAUACAAUCCGGUGAAAUUGUGUUUACCUUCAAGAUAAGCAGGACUGAGUCUUGUAAGAAUAUUGAAAGGGAUUUACACACAAAGUUCUAGAUAGGCCUAAACUUAGAAUAUAUAUUUGAAUGGAUAUGGAAUGUGCAUGCAUGGCACAUGCUAUUGAGGUCUAGAAAAAAAUAUAGUGCAGCAUGAUCUCACAAACCCACUGCUAGAGUCUUGGUUUUUUACAGUCUUGAAAAAAAUGUCAAGCAAACAAUAAUGGACAAAUUGAGAAUGAUGUUGUCUUGUCUCGCACAGUAUUACAGUACAAUACCCAUAUUUAAUGGAGGGGCAAAAGACUGGACUGUUUUGGAAAGUGUAAAGCAAGACAAAGUACUGAUGUUUUAAACUGAAUUACAUAUGGAUUGAGUGGCCUUCUAUCAAUGCGGUUGUUCUGUUGAGAUUCCUCUGGCAGUCUCCUGGGUUAACAGAUUAUUAAAAACAAUGUAGCGAUUUGGGUCCUGUGUGUCUGCCACAGUCUUGACAAAAUAAAUAUCCCUCAUGAAAUAUUGAUCCACCUUCCCAACUCCUUUCCCAUUAGCUGUAUAAAGAAUUUCUGAAACACAAAGUUAUCAGAGUACACAUACAAUUUGAGAGAGAGCAGGCAGAAUGUUGAUGAGAUGUUCCAAGAAAACAUGUCUUUGAUUCAUCAAGGCCUCCUGGAGUCAGGUGAGGAUGAACCACUUCAAACUCCACACAAAGAUUGACUUCAUCAAAACAACACUGGUUGACUCACUAAUGCACUAUGUUCAUUUCAUCUCUUGCUGGCUACUUGUUACAUCUGCUCCUGCCACGCCCUCUACUGCUCAUCUUGUGUCUCCUUGACCUGCCGCCACUCCGCCAGUGCUCUCUCCCUCUCCCUCUCUCUGUGUGUGUGAUUGUGUGGACGGAGACAGGUAUGCUGGAGUCCGAGCAGAUCCCCACCAGCUGUAACCUGUUCCAUAAUCAAGACCUCUACAAAUACUCAGUCCUGCCACUUCCACACUGCCAGAUCUUCUGCCCGCUCUGACUCCAGUCCCACGUCUCCUCAUCCUGCUACUCUGUCCUGGAUUCCCCACUCUACUGCUCCCUUGGAUUCCCCUCCGGACCUGCUUACCCUGUCCCAACCCCUCUCGCUCCAGCCUCAGCACCUGGUUUCCUGCAACCCACCCGAGCUUCCCCUGGCCUGCACUCCAUCUUCCCCGUGUUUCAAUAACCAUCUUGGUUACUUCAUCCCAGUCUCCUCGUCGGAGUCUGCUCUUGGGUUUCCUUGUUCCACUCCACGUAACACUACUUUUUGUUAAAAAUCACAUUCGACCAGAUGAGUUCAUGACACCAACAUGAUUGGACUUUUUCAUUUGAUAAUGGUGCCUUAGGAUGUAAGGUAUCCCAUUUGAAAUGUAUCUGGCAUGUCAUUUACACUGACUGUGACAAGUAUCUGACUGGUCAAAAGUAGUAUUUACUGCCCCUAUUUUCCUCUGCAUUAAGAGGUGUGAUAUUGUCCUCUGAAAGGGAUCAACUCAUACACCUGUCAUGUUAUUUGGUGAAUUGUCAAAAAUAUCCACAUAGUUUUGGGAUUCUUGAUAUACUGAUAGAAAUAGUUUUCACUCUCAGAAAAGGAUUUGACUUGCAAUAAUUCUAUUUGAAAUAAUGAUGUAAAAUCCAAAGACGUUAACUGAAUCAAAAAUGGAAUAAUGUUUUAGUAGCGCAUAUGUCUAUCAGAUGUUCCAACCUGUUGAAUUUAGGUUGAACAUUUUCUCAGUUAUGUUUAUUUUUUUCAAUGACACAUCCAGCCAGUGCCACACAUCAUAAAAUGAUAAAAUAUCCAACAGCCAUCUGUGGCCACUUCCGUAGUUUAUUUUGUUUGGAUACUUGAUUAAUGGUUUUUGAGCUUAAACAUCAGUGAAAUACUGUGCUGUUUUGUUUGACGGCCAUCUGCUUGUACUCAAAGUUGUGAUAUUCCCCAUAAUUAAGCUCAACAACAUCUAGACUAAACAGCUAUACCCACUUGAUCCAGAGAGUUUUACAACAAACAGUAGGGUGGAACAGGUAGCAGAACAUCCUAUCAGGCAAAGGAUGAAUUCAUACUCCGACAUACCACUUGCUGAAGUGAGGACACACAGCAAUAGUCUGUCCUAACUGUGGCUGGAGUGCAGAUUACCUGAACAGAGUGGUUUGAAGACAUACAGUACAUGCAGAAAUGACAAGCUGGUUGUAAUGCCACACUGUCAUUUCUGUAGCGCUCUACUUUAAUUGACCUUCAUAGUUCAAACCCCAGAUGGUGUCUAAAAGAUGGAAUCCAUUAGUACACCCUGCCGGCUAAUUUAGCACUUUAAAGACUGAUGUUUGAUAGCACUAAAAACAACACAUCUUUGUCGUAACCACAUGGAUGCCAUCAAGAAUGGAAGAACAAGCAAAGCAAGUAAACUAUAUUAUGCUGAAAGUAAGGUGAAAGUGACAGAAAAUGUCAUGUGUUGCAUUUGUCACUGAAAACCUUGCAAAAUUGGAUUCGAGGGAGUUGGGUUAUAUGACUGAUUUAUAUUAUUUGCACUGAAUAAAACCACAA